AGCAGCCGCGGUAAUUCCAGCUCCAAUAGCGUAUAUUAAAGUUGUUGCAGUUAAAAAGCUCGUAGUUGAAUUUCGGGGUCAGUAGGUCGGUCGUGCCACUGGUAUGAACUGGUUUUACUGAUUCCUCCCUCUUGAAGAACUGUAAUGCCAUUAAUUUGGUGUUGCAGGGAAUCAGGACUGUUACUUUGAAAAAUUAGAGUGUUUAAAGCAGGCUUUAGCUUGAAUACAUUAGCAUGGAAUAAUGAAAUAGGACGUUUGAUCCUAUUUUGUUGGUUUCUAGGAUUGACGUAAUGAUUAAUAGGGAUAGUUGGGGCAUUAGUAUUCAAUUGUCAGAGGUGAAAUUCUUGGAUUUAUUGAAGACUAACUACUGCGAAAGCAUUUGCCAAGGAUGUUUUCAUUAAUCAAGAACGAAAGUUAGGGGAUCGAAGACGAUCAGAUACCGUCGUAGUCUUAACCAUAAACUAUGCCGACUAGGGAUCGGAUGAUGUUAAUUUUUAAUGUACUCAUUCGGCGCCUUAC
rnacentral:rRNA from 1 species